rnacentral:rRNA from 1 species
AUUGAACGCUGGCGGCAUGCCUUACACAUGCAAGUCGAACGGCAGCACGGGUGCUUGCACCUGGUGGCGAGUGGCGAACGGGUGAGUAAUACAUCGGAACAUGUCCUGUAGUGGGGGAUAGCCCGGCGAAAGCCGGAUUAAUACCGCAUACGAUCCACGGAUGAAAGCGGGGGACCUUCGGGCCUCGCGCUAUAGGGUUGGCCGAUGGCUGAUUAGCUAGUUGGUGGGGUAAAGGCCUACCAAGGCGACGAUCAGUAGCUGGUCUGAGAGGACGACCAGCCACACUGGGACUGAGACACGGCCCAGACUCCUACGGGAGGCAGCAGCGUGGAAUUUUGGACAAUGGGCGAAAGCCUGAUCCAGCAAUGCCGCGUGUGUGAAGAAGGCCUUCGGGUUGUAAAGCACUUUUGUCCGGAAAGAAAUCCUUGACUCUAAUACAGUCGGGGGAUGACGGUACCGGAAGAAUAAGCACCGGCUAACUACGUG